rnacentral:rRNA from 1 species
CCUACGGGAGGCAGCAGUGAGGAAUAUUGGUCAAUGGGCGAGAGCCUGAACCAGCCAAGUCGCGUGAGGGAGUACUGCCCUAUGGGUUGUAAACCUCUUUUGUCGGGGAGCAAAAGCCGGACGUGUCCGGCUGUGAGAGUACCCGAAGAAAAAGCAUCGGCUAACUCCGUGCCAGCAGCCGCGGUAAUACGGAGGAUGCGAGCGUUAUCCGGAUUUAUUGGGUUUAAAGGGUGCGCAGGCGGAUUUUUAAGUCAGCGGUAAAAUCGUGGGGCUCAACCCCAUCCAGCCGUUGAAACUGGGGAUCUAGAGUGUGCGAGAGGUAUGCGGAAUGCGUGGUGUAGCGGUGAAAUGCUUAGAUAUCACGCAGAACCCCGAUUGCGAAGGCAGCAUACCGGUGCACAACUGACGCUCAGGCACGAAAGCGUGGGUAUCGAACAGGAUUAGAUACCCGUGUAGUC